AUGGAAGAAGAAAUUGCUGAAACUAUGAGCUCAUUAGAUGAAAAAGAUGACAGGGAGAGCGAAGAACAAAAGGAGGAAGAGCGUAUUAGCUACCCGUUCCCACCUUCUAAUGAGAGUAACUCUUCAACUCAUACAUUGUUUAAUUUCCCUUCGUGCUUACCGAAGGAUGAACGCAAUGAUGAUUGCUAUGAUCCUGUUGAUUCAUUUGAAAUAUCCCUUUUUGAUGAAAUUGAUGCUUGCUAUGCUUGUGGCCAAGAUGCCAAUUUGAAUUGUGUUUAUGGAGAUGAACUUCCUAGAUUUCCUUAUCUUAAGAAUGAAAUUCUUGCUAUUGCACCCACACAUUGA
rnacentral:rRNA from 1 species